GACGAACGCUGGCGGCGUGCUUAACACAUGCAAGUCGAACGGAAAGGCCCUGCUUUUGUGGGGUGCUCGAGUGGCGAACGGGUGAGUAACACGUGAGUAACCUGCCCUUGACUUUGGGAUAACUUCAGGAAACUGGGGCUAAUACCGGAUAGGAGCUCCUGCUGCAUGGUGGGGGUUGGAAAGUUUCGGCGGUUGGGGAUGGACUCGCGGCUUAUCAGCUUGUUGGUGGGGUAGUGGCUUACCAAGGCUUUGACGGGUAGCCGGCCUGAGCGGGUGACCGGCCACAUUGGGACUGAGAUACGGCCCAGACUCCUACGGGAGGCAGCAGUGGGGAAUCUUGCACAAUGGGCGGAAGCCUGAUGCAGCAACGCCGCGUGCGGGAUGACGGCCUUCGGGUUGUAAACCGCUUUCGACGGUGACGAAGCGUGAGUGACGGUAAUGGGUAAAGAAGCACCGGCUAACUACGUG
rnacentral:rRNA from 1 species